rnacentral:lncRNA from 1 species
CUUCAAUUACAGCCAUGCUUCGAGAUUACGGCAACUGGUCCCCUGCGAUCCAAGUAGCAGGAUUGCAUCGGCAAUGAUACUAACGAGCACCAACCCUGCCGACAAAUCCAAUUGUUGUUUCGCUUCGUGCAGGGAAUAGGUAUCGGACGGCUGAGUGCCGGGUAAAAGGGGGGACAAAUGACGCACAACUUUUUUGUGUUGUAAGAGGAUGGAUUAGCAUGAAACAGAUUUAAUAUGGCGGCAAGAAAUUGCCAUCCAAGUCAUGCUUAGAUGGAGACG